rnacentral:rRNA from 1 species
CUUGGCACUGAACAUUGACCCUACAUGUGUAGGAUAGGUGGGAGGCUUUGAAGCACGUACGCCAGUAUGUGUGGAGCCGUCCUUGAAAUACCACCCUUGUAGUGUUGAUGUUCUAACGUCGACCCCUAAUCGGGGUUGCGGACAGUGCCUGGUGGGUAGUUUGACUGGGGCGGUCUCCUCCCAAAGAGUAACGGAGGAGCACGAAGGUGGGCUAAUCACGGUUGGACAUCGUGAGGUUAGUGCAAUGGCAUAAGCCCGCUUGACU